UUAUAUUUCUAUACAGUAAUAAUCAAUAGUAGUCAUAUUUAUAUCCCAAAGUCUUACAAGAUGUGGUUACUUUGUUAAUCAUCAGAAAAAAAAUUGUCAUAGUUUAUCAUACACCUAUUGAAAGUUACCUCUUGCACAGUAUUUCCAAAUGGUGGUGUUUUUUUAAAAUUAUAUUCAAAGACUCAUAGGCAGUAUACAAGAAUGGUUCAAAGAAUUGCUGUAUAUCUUUUACAGAAUCUUCAAACAUUAAUAUUUUACUCCAUUAAAAAAUUUUUUCUCAGCUAUUUUAGAGGCAGGCAUAAUGUUUCUUUGUAAGUACUCCAGUGAAUAUUUCCUAAUACUGGACAAUCUAGCAUAUUUUGUCCUGUUCAUUUUUUUUUUUUUUUGGACAGGAAUAACAUUAAGUUCAGAGUCAGAAAAACUGCCUACUUGGAUAAUUACAAUGGCCGUGACUAUCAUUUUGGGAAAACUACAUUACCUCUCAUAGGUAAAGUAAAAUAGAUAAAGAUGAGUAUUAAGUCUUCUUUCAGGGCUAAGACAGUAAUAAUACUGAUCAGGUGAUCAUGAUAGUGAUAGUAAUAAAAAAACAAUGUUAUAAGAUAGUAGUAGUUGGUCAGUAAGAUCAUGAAAAGAUCCAUACAAAUUAUUACUGGGACAAAAUAGUACUAGUUAAUAUCUAUAGCUAAUAGUGAAUCAAUGAUCUUUUUGUACAGAAGAGCUUAUUGUUUUUGAUAAUGCUGAAAUAAUGAUAAUGUUUGCUUUAUAUACAAACUAAAUAUCAAGUGUUUCUUUAAAUGAGUCUUCCACACUUCAAUUAGAAUUUUUCCUGAGCCAUCAUAUUUUAAAAUCCUGCUUCAAUUUCUCCUUUCCAUUUUAGAGUUUUAACAUUUUUGCCCAAUAUAAUAAAAAUCUUAUGUAACUGUUGCUGAUCCAGUGGCACUUUUUCUUUUUCAAAGUAGGAUGCUAAAAUAUGAAUUUGGAUUGUGCUAAAAACUCAAGACUCUCUUAUUUUCUAGAAGGCAUUAGCAUUCUUAAACAGGGUAUGUAUUAAUCAUGGCUUAUUCUUUUUUCUUAUGUCAAAGAGAGAGCAGUGUCUCAUUUAUAAAACAGGAGCUAAACGCACAUACCAGACCUGACACUUGAGGAAGCUCAGCCUGUCCAUUGGUUGAGAACAGUUAGCGGUGGGUAGUUUGGCAUUUUUGACCCUGCCACCACCUCAGUUAGCAUUUGGGGACAAAGGUGCUGCUCUUCAUUUUAUAAGAAAUUUGCCAGAUUUUAAAGGAUGGAAAAUUUUCUCUGUUCUUACACAGUGAGUCCAGGUAGAAAAAUGUCACUUCUUAAUUAUAACUUACAUUUUACAGAGUUUCUUUGCUUCUUAAUGCCAGACUCUCAUCUUUUUGGAUUACAAGCCACUUUUGAUUCAGUAUUUAAUUCUAGGCCUUGGGGUUGUCAUUGUAAGUCUCUCCGUUUUACUGAGGUGCUGAAAUAUUGUAGCAUUUUUUAUGGGACCUAUAAAAAUUGAAAAUCUCUAAGCAGUGGUGGAGAAGGGACUUUAAAAUAUGCUUUAAGGAGAGAUUUGUAUUUCACGGAAUUGUUCAGAUUUCUAGGCUUCUGAAAGGUGUCAUCAAUAUCAUUAAGCAGUUAGUUAAGAUUGAGACAGUCAAUUCCAGAAACUUCUCAGAAGAAAAAAAAGAUAAAAAUAAGAUUGGGACAGAUCGUACAUAUAUAAUUAAUCACAUUAGAAUUGCUAGAGGACUUUUGGGGAGAUAUACAAAUAUAUAUGAUGUUCGUUUGCCUAAGGAUAUGAUUUAGUCUUCAUACAUCGUUCUAUUUAUUUGAAAGGGGCCAUGCUUGUCUAUGGGGGCAGUGUUGUAUAACAGAAAAAGCAUGAAAUUUGGGAAAAAGCGAAUGAGGAAGCAGAAUCCAGUUCAUACUCUGGCUCCAAAUUUCGAGGCUGAAGUAGUUUUAUCACUACAAACGGUGGAAUAGUAAUACUAACUUGUGAAAAUUAGCUUUAACAAAUGCCAAAAAUAUAGUAUAUGAUAGUGUGUCACUCUGGGUUCUCCAAGAAGUAGAUGCCAUGAUGGGAUUAGAUAUGGAAAAAAUCAGGAGAAACGUCUGUGAAGGAUAAAAGGAGAGGACUCAGUUGGGAACAGGCAGGAAAAGUCUUCAGAUGAUGAUGCUUGUCAGGCAACUGUGAA